rnacentral:tRNA from 1 species
AGCAGCAUGGCCUAGUGGAAACAGCAUGGGCCUGGGAGUCCCAAGGACCUGGGUUCUAAUCCCAGCUCUGCCA